rnacentral:rRNA from 1 species
UACAGAGGGGGCAAGCGUUGUUCGGAAUUACUGGGCGUAAAGGGCGCGUAGGCGGCCUGUUAAGUCGAACGUGAAAUCCCCGGGCUCAACCCGGGAACUGCGUCCGAUACUGGCAGGCUUGAAUUCGGGAGAGGGAUGUGGAAUUCCAGGUGUAGCGGUGAAAUGCGUAGAUAUCUGGAGGAACACCAAUUGCGAAGGCAGCUUGCUGGGACGGUACUGACGCUGAGGCGCGAAAGCGUGGGGAGCAAACAGG